rnacentral:lncRNA from 1 species
GAGGAAGACAGCAGACACUGAGGUUAUGUAUUAUGUGUUGUAGAAUGAGGAAGAGAGAAACACUGAGGUUAUGUAUUAUGUGUUGUGGAAUGAGGAAGACAGCAGACACUGAGGUUAUGUAUUAUGUGUUGUAGAAUGAGGAAGAGAGAAACACUGAGGUUAUGUAUUAUGUGUUGUGGAAUGAGGAAGAGAGAGACACUGAGGUUAUGUAUUAUGUGUUGUGGAAUGAGGAAGACAGAGACACUGAGGUUAUGUAUUAUGUGUU